GGGGAUCUAGCUCAAUCGGUAGAGCACUAGCUUUGCAUGUUAGAGGCACGGGGAUCGAAACCCCGGAUCUCCA